GCCGGAAUAGCUCAGAUGGGAGAGCGUUAGACUGAAGUUGUAUACGCAACAGUCAUCUAAAGGUCCCCGGUUCAAUCCCGGAACAGUUCGGCG
rnacentral:tRNA from 1 species